rfam:Manacus vitellinus contig32765, whole genome shotgun sequence.
CCCCUGGUGGUCUAGUGGUUAGGAUGCAGCGCUCUCACUGCCACAGCCUGGGUUCCAUUCCCGGUCAGGGAA